rnacentral:rRNA from 1 species
AUUGAACGCUGGCGGCAGGCCUAACACAUGCCAGUCGAGCGGAUGAAGGGAGCUUGCUCCUGGAUUCAGCGGCGGACGGGUGAGUAAUGCCUAGGAAUCUGCCUGGUAGUGGGGGAUAACGUCCGGAAACGGGCGCUAAUACCGCAUACGUCCUGAGGGAGAAAGUGGGGGAUCUUCGGACCUCACGCUAUCAGAUGAGCCUAGGUCGGAUUAGCUAGUUGGUGGGGUAAAGGCCUACCAAGGCGACGAUCCGUAACUGGUCUGAGAGGAUGAUCAGUCACACUGGAACUGAGACACGGACCAGACUCCUACGGGAGGCAGCAGUGGGGAAUAGUGGACAAGGGGCGAAAGCCUGAUCCAGCCAUGCCGCGUGUGAAGAAGGUCUUCGGAUUGUAAAGCACUUUAAGUUGGGAGGAAGGGCAGUAAGUUAAUACCUUGCUGUUUUGACGUUACCAACAGAAUAAGCACCGGCUAACUUCGUG